UACGUAGGGGGCAAGCGUUGUCCGGAUUUAUUGGGCGUAAAGAGCUCGUAGGCGGUUUGGUAAGUCUGGUGUGAAAUCUCCACGCUCAACGUGGAGGGGCCACCCGAUACUGCCAUGACUGGAGUCCGGUAGAGGAGUGUGGAAUUCCCGGUGUAGCGGUGAAAUGCGCAGAUAUCGGGAGGAACACCCGUAGCGAAGGCGGCACUCUGGGCCGUGACUGACGCUGAGGCGCGAAAGCGUGGGGAGCGAACAGG
rnacentral:rRNA from 1 species